rfam:Sporolactobacillus inulinus CASD NODE_136, whole genome shotgun sequence.
AAAAUCCUGAAGUGUUAGUCUAAAGUCGUUAUGUUUUGACCGAACAUACUUUGAUAGGGAGUCCGAUUGUUCUCACUCGGAGCGCAUGCCCGCAUUCGGGACGCGCAAACUGUGGGACAGGACACCCACCUGCUUAUAACUGCGGGUUUCAAAUCUGCGGCUUUGCAACGGCACGUUCGGGAUUUUU